UGUUUCGGCUAGGGGGCCAUCCCGGCUUACCAACCCGAUGCAAACUGCGAAUACCGGAGAAUGUUAUCACGGGAGACACACGGCGGGUGCUAACGUCCGUCGUGAAGAGGGAAACAACCCAGACCGCCAGCUAAGGUCCCAAAGUCAUGGUUAAGUGGGAAACGAUGUGGGAAGGCCCAGACAGCCAGGAUGUUGGCUUAGAAGCAGCCAUCAUUUAAAGAAAGCGUAAUAGCUCACUGGUCGAGUCGGCCUGCGCGGAAGAUGUAACGGGGCUAAACCAUGCACCGAAGCUGCGGCAGCGACACUGUGUGUUGUUG
rnacentral:rRNA from 1 species